UUUCGCCUUACUUCCGCAGUCUGUUGUCAUGGUGACGCGGAUUGCUCCUUUGUAGCUGUGGAUAUUCUGUCCAGAUUCUGUUUAUGUUCAUAGUUUAGUUAUGAAAGUGGUGUGUGUGUGUGUUUAGAGACAUGGUGAUGAGUGUGAGUCAGCGUUCUGUGGACAGAAUUCUGGCAGCUAUUGUGUUGGUGGUGGUGUUGGUGUCCUGGGGUUUUGUGAUCUACGCUGCUCGUGUAGCUGCUCAGUGGGAGCUGGAGAAGAGAACCAGCACACAGCGAUGAAGGAGGAAACACACACACACUGAGACACGGCAUGGAGAA